rnacentral:lncRNA from 1 species
UUUCCUGCCAGCCAUACAAAUUAAUGUGUGUCAUUUUUGUAAAAAAUAACCAUAGGCAAAAAACAGAGCAUAGCAAAAACAAACACUUCCUUGAGUCAACCCAUGAAGAUCAUAAAUCAACCCCUAAAGAAGUUGAAUCGAUCCUAGAAUGGUCGUAGAUGGAAUACAGAUAGCAAUAAAAACCAGCCCUUUCACGAGUUGAACCUACUGGAUCAUGAGUCGAUCCCAAGCGAACUAGAGUCAACGCCAAAAAUAGAUGGCUCGACCCCACAAAAAUAAGCACUUUUUUGGGUCGACCCCUAAAGAAGAAUAAUCAACCUCCGGAAAUCACGAGUCAACCCUUGAAAAAGUGGAGUUAACCCCAGAAUGACCGCAGACAAAAUACAGAUAGUGAUGAAAACCAACCAUUUUAUAAGUCGCCCCUAGUGGAUCUUUAAUCAACCCCAAGCAAACUUGAGUCGCCACCAAAGAUAAACGAGUCGUCCCCAUAUUGACCAUGGCGGAAGGCAGGGCACAACAAAAACAAGUACUUUCUUGAAUCGAUUCAUGAAGAAGAAUAGUCAACUCUUAAAGAUUACGAAUCGAC